GACGUUGUCUCCUUCCUCACCGACCUCACCGACGCCGACGUCCUCGGCGACCAUGAUGACCCCGCGCACGCCCUCGUCGCUGCCCUCGUCGACAACAACGCCCUCGAGCUUCUCGUCCAGAAACUCGCCAGCCUUUCCGAGGUCGACCCCGACGAGGUUCUUCUCCCUCGCCGGUAACGAAGAAGAGGGAAGAGGAAGAGGAAGAAGGAAGAAGGAAGAAGAAGGAAAAAGAGGAAGAGGGAAGAGGAAAAGGAAGAGGGUUCGCCGCCGUCGCCGCCGCAUCUCCUCGCCGGCGACGAAAAAGAAGGAAGAGGAAGAGGAGGAAGAGGAAGAAGGGUAAAUACGUUAAUUCACACUAUAAUUAACCAUGGUUAAGUAUUUUAACCGUGGUUAACGAAAAUUUUCUAACAGAUCUGGACGGCAGGACGGCAGGGACAUAUCUGCAUAACUUAGGACUUUUGUAGGGAUAACUUAUGAAGUUUUUAUUUUGCAGGAAUAUUUUCGCAAUUCACUAUGUUUGCAAGAAUGUGUAUGCAAAUAACCUAUAGUUAUAUUACACCUCACAUUAGCCCUAAAAACAUA
rnacentral:lncRNA from 1 species